rnacentral:piRNA from 1 species
UAUCUACACAACCCCUUCUUU